rnacentral:rRNA from 1 species
UCGAACGCGAAAGCCCCGCAAGGGGUCAGUAGAGUGGCAAACGGGUGAGUAACACGUGGGUGACCUGCCUCAGGGUGGGGGAUAACGACUCGAAAGGGUCGCUAAUACCGCAUAACAUGCUGCGUUUGGAAACGCAGACAUCAAAGCCGGGGAUCGCAAGACCUGGCGCCUGGAGAGGGGCCCGCGGCCGAUUAGCUAGUUGGUGAGGUAACGGCUCACCAAGGCGACGAUCGGUAUCCGGCCUGAGAGGGCGGACGGACACACUGGGACUGAGACACGGCCCAGACUCCUACGGGAGGCAGCAGUGGGGAAUUGUUCGCAAUGGGCGCAAGCCUGACGACGCAACGCCGCGUGGAGGAUGAAGAUCUUCGGGUCGUAAACUCCUUUCGAUCGGGAAGAAUGUUUCCGGGGUGAAUAAUCCCGGGAAGGGACGGUACCGAGAGAAGAAGCCCCGGCUAACUCUGUGCCAGCAGCCGCGGUAAUACAGGGGGGGCAAGCGUUGUUCGGAAUUACUGGGCGUAAAGGGCUUGUAGGUGGCCAACUAAGUCACACGUGAAAUCCCCAGGCUUAACCUGGGAACUGCGUGUGAUACUGGAUGGCUUGAAUCCGGGAGAGGGAUGCGGAAUUCCAGGUGUAGCGGUGAAAUGCGUAGAUAUCUGGAGGAACACCGGUGGCGAAGGCGGCAUCCUGGACCGGUAUUGACACUGAAAAGCGAAAGCCAGGGGAGCAAACGGGAUUAGAUACCCCGGUAGUCCUGGCCCUAACGAUGAAUGCUUGGUGUGGCGGGUAUCGAUCCCUGCCGUGCCGAAGCUAACGCAUUAAGCAUUCCGCCUG